rnacentral:rRNA from 1 species
AACGAACGCUGGCGGCAGGCUUAACACAUGCAAGUCGAGCGCCCCGCAAGGGGAGCGGCAGACGGGUGAGUAACGCGUGGGAAUCUACCCAUCUCUACGGAAUAACGCAUGGAAACGUGUGCUAAUACCGUAUACGUCCUUCGGGAGAAAGAUUUAUCGGAGAUGGAUGAGCCCGCGUUGGAUUAGCUAGUUGGCGGGGUAAAGGCCUACCAAGGCGACGAUCCAUAGCUGGUCUGAGAGGAUGAUCAGCCACACUGGACUGAGACACGGCCCAGACUCCUACGGGAGGCAGCAGUGGGGAAUAUUGGACAAUGGGCGCAAGCCUGAUCCAGCCAUGCCGCGUGAGUGAUGAAGGCCCUAGGGUUGUAAAGCUCUUUCACCGGUGAAGAUAAUGACGGUAACCGGAGAAGAAGCCCCGGCUAACUUCGUGCCAGCCGCCGCAGUAACAC